rnacentral:tRNA from 1 species
CUCCUUUCUAAGAGAAAGAAAUUGUUUAAAUUAAUUAUUAUUUUAACUCUUCCCUUGUUUUCUCAAAGGCUUUUUUGGGGGUUUAGCUCAGUUGGUUUAGAGCAUCGGCUUUGCAAGCCGGGGGUCAAGGGUUCGAGUCCCUUAACCUCCAUUUAUUUAUUGUUAAAUAGGUAUGCAGCCUUUUAAGAAAUGGC